UGCUGUUACAACUUCUGCAAGCAGUUAAAACUUGGAAAAUUGAUAAUAUAGCUUCUUAAAAUAAUAUUUCAAAUUUUUGUAUAAAAGUAAUCCUUUUUAUUUUAUUUUUUGCAUCUAAUAGAUGAUCUAUAGUGUGAGUUUCAAUUAUUAUUAGUUCUACUCAAGUUACAAAACAAAAUCAUCUGGAUAAAAGUGAUAAAAUGCUAUUGGUUGGAAAUUGAUAAAUUAAUAAAAAAUGAUUGAUUCUAAUUGCGCGAAAAUAUGUUGCUCUAAAGACCCAAACCGAAAAGAAUGCCUAAAGUGGUUUUCAAAAGAUGAAUUGACGAAUUUCUUAAUUCUUUUUGUUUCGUUGUGAUAAUUUGUCGUAUGAGAACGCUAACGAGAAAAAACUUUUUAAAUAUAGAAACAUGCGUAAUAUAAAGUUUACUUAUGCCUAUAAAAAAAUAUGUUUUACAUUAAUUAAUAAAUUAACUUUUUAGUUUCUUGUUAAAAAUUGUAUUCUGUAUUGAAGUUUAUUUCUGAGAAUUUGUAAUUAUACCUAAGAUAAUCUAAUCCUACAUUGUAUUUUAAUUUAUAAAACUCGAUAUUUUAAAAUAAAUAUAUUACUUUUUUAUCGCG